CUGGUGUUUUGUGGUGAGCCUAGCAUAAGGCAUUUGUUUUCCUGACCUGUUCCCUGUCCCCGAAAUACCUUGGAUAACAGAACUAUGCUUUCACCUUCUGCUUAAGAUUAGGAAUUCCUGGGCAAAUGCUGUGU